rnacentral:rRNA from 1 species
CGGACGGGUGAGUAACGCGUGGAUAACCUGCCUCACACUGGGGGAUAACAGUUAGAAAUGGCUGCUAAUACCGCAUAAGCGCACAGUACCGCAUGGUACGGUGUGAAAAACCCAGGUGGUGUGAGAUGGAUCCGCGUCUGAUUAGCCAGUUGGCGGGGUAACGGCCCACCAAAGCGACAAUCAGUAGCCGACCUGAGAGGGUGACCGGCCACAUUGGGACUGAGACACGGCCCAA